AGUGAACGCUGGCGGUAGGCCUAACACAUGCAAGUCGAACGGCAGCACAGUAAGAGCUUGCUCUUACGGGUGGCGAGUGGCGGACGGGUGAGGAAUACAUCGGAACCUACUUUUUCGUGGGGGAUAACGUAGGGAAACUUACGCUAAUACCGCAUACGACCUACGGGUGAAAGCAGGGGAUCUUCGGACCUUGCGCGAUUGAAUGAGCCGAUGUCGGAUUAGCUAGUUGGCGGGGUAAAGGCCCACCAAGGCGACGAUCCGUAGCUGGUCUGAGAGGAUGAUCAGCCACACUGGAACUGAGACACGGUCCAGACUACUACGGGAGGCAGCAGUGGGGAAUAUUGGACAAUGGGCGCAAGCCUGAUCCAGCCAUACCGCGUGGGUGAAGAAGGCCUUCGGGUUGUAAAGCCCUUUUGUUGGGAAAGAAAAGCAGCAGGUUAAUACCCCGCUGUUCUGACGGUACCCAAAGAAUAAGCACCGGCUAACUUCGUG
rnacentral:rRNA from 1 species